rnacentral:rRNA from 1 species
GAUGAACGCUGGCGGCGUGCCUAAUACAUGCAAGUCGAGCGGACGGACGAGAAGCUUUCUUCUCUGAUGUUAGCGGCGGACGGGUGAGUAACACGUGGAUAACCUACCUAUAAGACUGGGAUAACUUCGGGAAACCGGAUCUAAUACCGGAGAAUAUUUUGAACCGCAUGGUUCAAAAGUGAAAGACGGUCUUGCUGUCACUUAUAGAUGGAUCCGCGCUGCAUUAGCUAGUUGGUAAGGUAACGGCUUACCAAGGCAACGAUGCAUAGCCGACCUGAGAGGGUGAUCGGCCACACUGGAACUGAGACACGGUCCAGACUCCUACGGGAGGCAGCAGUAGGGAAUAUUCCGCAAUGGGCGCAAGCCUGACGGAGCAACGCCGCGUGAGUGAUGAAGGUCUUCGGAUCGUAAAACUCUGUUAUUAGGGAAGAACAUAUGUGUAAGUAACUGUGCACAUCUUGACGGUACCUAAUCAGAAAGCCACGGCUAACUACGUG